ensembl:lncRNA
CCUAACCCUAACCUUCCAGGCAGUGGAUGUGAAAGUGCUGAUUAGACCUGUGAAAAGCUUCAAUGUUGCUAUGAAUGUGAAAGUGCUGAUUAGACCUGUGAAAAGCUUCAAUGUUGCUAUGAAUGUGAAAGUGCUGAUUAGACCUGUGAAAAGCUUCAAUGUUGCUAUGAAUGUGAAAGUGCUGAUUAGACCUGUGAAAAGUUCCAAUGUUGUUUUGGAUGUGAACGUUUUUUGACUCACCUCCUUCCCAGAGCUACUAGUUCUAUAGGAAGACAUUGUUUUCUGUUUGGUUUUUCUUAACUUUAAUAGAUGAUCACAGUCAGAGCUGGGAUUGAGAAACACCCUGUACUAUACAUGACAAGCUUUGAAGUGCCCCAAAGCUCUUUUUGCAUGUGUAACCUAGGGUUACUGUGUGCAUCAUCAAGGCGGGGCCUGAAGACUGAACCCUCUUUUGGCUAUAUAUAGUUGAAGUAUAUCACACAUCUGGACAAACCCCCUUUGGCUAUAUAUAUAUAUAUAUAGUUGAAGUAUAUAUCACACAUCUGGACAAACCCCCUUUGGCGAUAUAUAUAUAGUUAAAGUAUAUAUCACAUCUGGACAAAUUAACAGACACAUUCUGGGAGUGUUUUUGGAAGUUUAAUUUUUAUUUCUUUAUUUAAUUUUAAUUUUUUUUUUUUUUUCAGCUUUACUUUUCCAUAAAAAUCCUGAGGUAUUCACAAGAUAAUGGCAUUAACUCUGUUUGGAAACGAGACAAGAGCAAGAACGCUCAAAGAAAAUGAAAAAAAAAAAAUCUACACAAAAUAAACAAAACAGAACACAAACUAAUGAAAAAAAAAAAGAAAGAAAAAAGUACAGCUUCCAGAAAUGUGCGACAAUAAACAACAAGAACAUAGUUCCUUAAAAUAUUCUACCAUAGCUCAACAACCUUUGUUUUUCUUCUCAAUGUUAAUUUUAUUUGGUGCACUUUUAAAACUUUUUUUAUUUUAAACUCUUUAAAAGCCUUUCUGAUGUUUCCUUAAUCUGGCUCUUUGGGAUUACUGAGCCGAUGGCUUGUUUUUAAAGUAUCUCACCUUAGCCAGCUGAUUGGUUGACCUAAUCAAACAGACACUCAAGCUGACUGAAACACUUUUACUGAUUUAAUUACACUGAAGAAAGUAGCCAUAAUAUAUAGAUGUCCAAUCAAAAAACAAAACAACAAAUUCAGAAUACAGAUGCUGGCGUCCAAUCAAACGGUCCAGUGGGGGAGGGUCUGUUCUCAAGAGAGUCUCUCACUGGAGAUUAUACUUCUUUUAUUAGCCAAUCAGAAACCUUUUAGGAAAGUGGUGUGGUUUGACAAGCCCCUCCCCCAGUUCUCAGCCCAUCUGAGUGACAGUGUCGGCCAACACCAAACUCCGAACAAAAUAAGGAUAAUGAUAAUAAUAAUAUUAUAUAUUUAUAUAUUUAUACAAGUCAUCAUAAAUAUUUAUAACAUACACCAGUUAUUUGUUUUUGUUCUUCCCCCAGACAUCUUCAUGUAAGUUUAACAGAUAAAAUCAAGAGAUUUAAAAAAAAAAAAAAAAAAAUUAAAAACUGAUUCUGAGACAGUAUAACAAGGCUCUCUGGUCAGGGGGAUAGGAACCCAGUGGAACCGUACCCCUCCCUGACCCUCGGUUCUACGCAGCACUGCAGAACUCAGAUUAAAACCAUCAAAAACAAACAAACAAACAAACAAACACACAAUGAUGAGAAAGCAGGUCAGAUAUCCUAAAGCUCCUCACAAGACAGGAUUCUUCAUCUUAGCAUGAAAAUCCUGCAGGAAGAGUGUAUGAGAAACGCCCAAAAAAGGACAAAAAGAGGGCGGGGUUUUGUGUGUGGGGAGGGCUUGAUGGUCAACAAUCAUAAAGAAAUAUACACAAACAAAGCUGGUUAUUUGUAGGUGUGUGUGUGUGUGUGUGUGUGUGUGUGUAUGCAAUCAUAAAGAAAUAUACACAAACAAAGCUGGUUCAAGAAGAAAUGAAAUCAGUAAAGAGUAACGUUUGCAGGCAGCUAGGCUGAAGGUGCCCUGUGAACUUUCACCUUUGACCCUACCUGCCUUGUUUCUAAACAACGUUCAAAAGAAAAACCAAACAAUAACGGAAGUCAUCAAUUUCAGCUGAGCACACUUUCAGUCCAACGGUGUCUCCACCACACACACACACACACACAAAACAUAUUUGAUCAAUUUGGUGUGUCUGCCCUGAAUACAGUAAGAAUUGCACAUACACACAGUCUCUCUCUCACUCUCUCACUCUCUCACACACACACACACACUCACACACACACAGCGUAAGAGACUCUACUAAGACGCAAACGCCCUAAACGCGGAUGACAGCGAAUUAAAUGAUGCACGCUACAAAAAAAGAAAAAAGAAAAGAAAGCCUCCAAGAGAAUCAUCUGAAAUCAACCAAAAACAUCAUCAACAAUAAAAAUAUGACAAUAAUAAUAAUAAUAAUAAUAAUAAUAAAAAUAACAAUGAAAAGUAAAGAUUUCAGAGAAGACUGCAGGGAGUUGGAAGCAAAGCACACUGUUCUGAUGUCACCACGGAAACAGCAUGCUGCUCUGACAGACUUCUCAAUGGUUCUGACGUCACCACGGAAACAGCAUACUAUUCUGACAGACUUCUCAAUGGUUCUGACGUCACCACGGAAACAGAGGUGGCAGCAGAGAGGGGAGGGGCUUCUCCUCCAUAGAUACCUCCCCGGCAACCAAAGCAGGGAAAGAAAAAAAAAAACAGGACAAAGAGAGGAGAAAUAAAACAGCAAAAACGUAGCAAGUCAUCAAAAGUCUUUUCCUCUUCCCUCUGUCUAAAUGGGGAAAGCAUAGUGAGGAAAAACAAAAACAAAAACAAAUAAAAACAAUCAGCAGAACAGAAUAUCAUAAAAGAUGUAAAAAUAUAAAUAAACUUUUCUUUUGUGUGGUUCCCCAGACCCCAAGCUCAGGGGUCCGAGGCAGUUAAACGAAAGACAAGAACAUGCAGCUCAUAUACUUACAGCGUAGAACUAACCCCCCACCCCACCCAAACACACACACACACACACACACACACACACACACACACAGCGUAGAACUAACCCCCACCCAAAACACACACACUUACAGCGUAGAACUAACCCCCACCCAAAACACACACACAGCAUAGAACUAACCCCCACCCCCACCCAAAACACACACACACACACACUUACAGCGUAUAACUAACCCCCACCCAAAAUACAAUCCUUAAAUAUAAACCAGCUCAUUCAAUACAAUACACACCUCUACACCUCACGCUCUGUUACACACACACACCCCUCUCUCCAGCUCAUGCUCUCUGUUACACACACACACCUCAAUUUAUUCUCCUAAACUUGCCUGUACGUCAGGUGUUGCUGAAGGCUGAAGGUAGAUGGUUAAUGGUAGAAGAUUCAGCCAACCACACACACAGACACAGACCAAGACACACAGCUAAUCCGCAACAGAAAAACCCAGGGAUGCUGCUCCCUAGCGACAUCAGGUGACAGGGACGCUGUUGCUUAGCGACAUGAGGUGACUGCAUAGUGUUGGAUAUUUGGUUUAAUUACAUAAGGGGGUGGGAGUGCACUCAUCAACUAACCUAACCAUUACCGACACACACACACACACACACACAGGGGGUGCACUCCAUUACCGACACACACACACACACACACACACACACAGGGGGUGCACUCAUCGACUAACCUAACCAUUACCGACACACACACAAAGCUAACAACUAGCGCCAUCUAAGCAUUUGGUGUUCUGGGUGAGAUACAUGUCUGCUAGAACAGGAGCGAUGUGAAUAUCAGAUCCAUCUGUGUUUCUGUUUCUCUCUCACUCACACACACACACACACACACCUUAGAGUGUCAAGACGGAUCUAGAGAAGACAGAGGACACACCUGUCCUAAAACUGUGUGGGUGAGUGUGUGUGUGUGUGUGUGUGUGUGUGUGUGUGUGUGUGUGGGUGUGGGUGUGGGUGUGGGUGUGGGUGUGGGUGUGGGGGUGUGUGUGUGUGUGGGUGUGUGGGAGAGAGGGAAGUUGGGGGGCGGGACUAAGAGAGUGUGGAUGAGACUGGACACCAAUGCUCUCAGCAGCCCAGCACAUGUGGGCCGGGUGUGGGUCGGGUGUGGGCCUGGUGUGGGCCGGGUGUGGGUGUGGGUCUGACUGAGCUUUCAGCAGAGUUAUUUGGUUUUGCACGGCGAUGACGACAGCAUGAUGACGUCAUCAGAAAACAAACAGACAGAACAAAAUUAAAACAAACAUACAAACCAAACACGUCAUUGGCUAGAAUACAUACAGAACACAUGUCAUUGGCUAGAAGGGAUCAACAUCUCUGCUCAGUGUCCCGUGAUUGGUCCAGUCUCUCUAUAGGCCCCACCCACCCUUAACUGGGACUCUAAAUGACACACCCAUCAUCAUCAUCAUCAUCUUUCACUCCUCCCUCUUGUAUUCCUGUGUGAAUAAUCACAUCCAACAGCAUGACAUGAUUGGCUGCCUGGCAGAGUAGCAGUGACAUGAUUGGUUGGUUGGCUGGCUGGCUGAGAAGCAGAGAUAUGAUUGGUUGGUUGGUUGAUUUGGGGUUUGAAGGAGUGGUCACAGUCCCAUCCUUGACUAAUCAGGAAGCAUCACUAUGCAGCAACCUUCGCUAAAUGACAGAGAGACGAGCAGCUUCUCUACAUGCUCUCUCUGACAUGGCCGUUGCUAAGCAAUGCUUCCUAGGAACACAUCCCUGGCAGAUAAACAGGAAGUCCCCUACAGACUGACGGACAGACAGACAGGUCAAAGGUUGCGCACGUCAUCCCCCGACAGCAUCUGACUGUGUGAUGGAUGUAACGUCUAUGGUGUUUUAGACAGAUGGAUGUAGCGUCUAUGGUGUUUUAGACAGAUAAAUGUAACGUCUAUGGUGUUUUAGACAGAUGGAUGUAACGUCUAUGGUGUUUUAGACAGAUAAAUGUAACGUCUAUGGUGCUUUAGACAGAUGGAUGUAACGUCUAUGGUGUUUUAGACAGAUGGAUGUAACGUCUAUGGUGCUUUAGACAGAUGGAUGUAACGUCUAUGGUGUUUUAGACAGAUGGAUGUAACGUCUAUGGUGUUUUAGACAGAUGGAUGUAACGUCUAUGUAACAUCUGUGGUGGAAAAUGAACAAGCCCAGACUUCACUGACUGGAAAAAAAGGUAUAUUCCCUUAUAUAUAAAGAUGUCUUUUUAUGUAGUGACUCCUAAGUUAUCCUCUUUAUUUAUUAUUGUUAUUAUUAUUAUUAUUAUUAUUAUUGAUUCUGCUUAUUACAGCUGUUAAUUUGUUUAUUCUGAAAAUAGUCUGGUGAAUAGUUAAUAUAAUAUAGUUGAUGUCAACUCCAGUAUUGUUGUUGUGGUUGAAUUUUUCCUCAGAGAGGAAUCACAUGAAAAAAAACAACUGCACCAGACUACAUAUCUGUUACCAUUUUUCAACUAUUCUUGUUUCUGUUUUUUUUUUUUGCACUUAUUUCUGUUAUCCGUUUUAUCAACUAUUCCUCUCAUCUGUUCUUAAAUGCUCCAAAUGUAAAGCACUUUGAGCUGCAUUCUUUGUAUUAAAGGUGCUAUACAAAUAAAAUUAUACAAAUAAUUAUUAUUAUUAUUAUUAUUAUUAUUAUAUAUCUAAUGGCCUCUACACGUGGCUAGACACUACAGGUUAGAGAAACUGCCGCUAUUUGUCAGUACUAGACCAGCACAGAAAUCAAUAUUAAUAAAAGAACAGACUCAAAAGUACACAGACGCAACUCUAGUUUAGAAUCAGGUCUAAUGAAUGACAGAAAUCUGCACACGCAAACACAGCGGCUGACUACAACAGAUCUGGCCCUGACUGGUUGGAAUUAGUAAGGAUCUAACAGAUCUGACCCUGAUCGGUUUGAAUUAGAAAGGAUCUGGUAGAUGUCGCCCUAAUUGGUUGGAUUAAGUAAGGAUCUGGUAGAUGUCGCCCUGAUUGGUUGGAUUAAGUAAGGAUCUGGUAGAUGUCACCCUGAUUGGUUGGAUUAAGUAAGGAUCUGGUAGAUGUCGCCCUGAUUGGUUGGAUUAAGUAAGGAUCUGGUAGAUGUCGCCCUGAUUGGUCCGAUCUGGCUCAGAUUCUGACCCUAAUCCAGGAAGUGCCAGGCCAGCUCCAGUCAGCUGUGGCCACCUGUGAACUUUCACCUUUGACCCUACCUGCCUUGUUUCUCUCCUGUGUUCUUUCAUCUCUGAAUCUUUCCUCUCUUCUCUAGCACUGUAGUCCCACCCCAUCCAUCCCUCCCUCCCUCCCUCCACCCAUCCCUCCCUCCCUCCAUCCUCAACUUUUCUUCCAUUGUUCUUGUAUUUGGUUCACGAAUCCCAGAGAGCGGCCCCUUCCAGAACCAACUUGGCCGGGCCCGUACCAGAACUCGGCCGCUGUCUGGGGGGGUUGACUUUGUGGAAUAUUUUGGUUUGUAGAAGACAUCACCUUUGGGUGGCAACAGUAACACAGCAGCGUUUCUAUAGCAACAUCAACAGCAGCAGCAGCAGAAACAGUCCCAAAAUAGAAUAAAUAAUAAUAAUAAUAAUAAUAAUAAUAAUAAUAAUAAUAAAGUCAAAUCAAUACAACUCUUUUAAAACUAAUUAAAACUGUUAAACUAACUCAAAAGCAUUCUAACUGCUAAAUCUGACUAGAUAUCGGUGAAACCGCCACUAGCUCUCGCCACUGAGGAAGAGCACUAGCUCUCGCCACUGAGGAAGAGGAAGAGCACUAGUUCUCACCACUGAGGAAGAGCACUAGCUCACCGUCUCUCGCCACUGAGGAAGAGCACUAGCUCACUAGCUCACGCCACUGAGGAAGAGCACUAGCUCUCACCACUGAGGAAGAGCACUAGUUCAC